CGAACGCUGGCGGCGUGCCUAAUACAUGCAAGUCGAACGGCUUUCCAUGGAAGCUUGCUUCCACUGAGAAGAUAGUGGCGGACGGGUGAGUAACACGUGGGUAACCUGCCCAUAAGAGGGGGAUAACAUCCGGAAACGGGUGCUAAUACCGCAUAGUUUUCUUGAUCGCAUGAUUGAGAAAGGAAAGACGGCCUUUGUGCUGUCGCUUAUGGAUGGACCCGCGGCGUAUUAGUUAGUUGGUGAGGUAACGGCUCACCAAGACGAUGAUACGUAGCCGACCUGAGAGGGUGAUCGGCCACAUUGGGACUGAGACACGGCCCAAACUCCUACGGGAGGCAGCAGUAGGGAAUCUUCCGCAAUGGACGAAAGUCUGACGGAGCAACGCCGCGUGAGUGAAGAAGGUUUUCGGGAAUCGUAAAACUCUGUUGUCAGAGAAGAACAAGUUGGAGAGUAACUGCUCCAGCCUUGACGGUAUCUGACCAGAAAGCCACGGCUAACUACGUGCCAGCAGCUGC
rnacentral:rRNA from 1 species